AUGUCUAGAUCAAAAUAUUACCUCUCGAGCCUGUGUGCGUGUGGCUUGGUUGCUGGGACACCUGCCAGCCAGGAAUUGGGGAUGCCUGGAAUCAUGUGCUCAGCAGGUGUAAACUGCGUGCAGGCAGAGUUCACCUUCUGUCCUCAGCCCCAGAGGCAGUUCCUCUUCAUUAGUGAGGGAAGAAGAUUAUCGUUGCAACCUGACUGCAUGCCAAAGUUAUGUAUCAUAAGAAGAAAAUCUGUUCAUACAUUCACAAAUAUGUUUUCUCCUGAUCUGUCUAUAGGAAAAUGUCUUCGUGAGGGGAGAGAGAGAGGCAGUGAUCGCAGAGAAGUUGAAAGGAAGCGACAGGCAGAAGCUGGACCUUUGCUGAGAUUUCUUCAAGCAGGAUGCAUGCAAUACAGAGAUGAAUGCAACUCCAGUGUAAUUGUGAGUGGUGCACAGCCAUGCUGGCAUCAUGUGGCAAGAGCACGUAUGGCCAUAUUUAACAGGGAAGAGGGAAUGAACAAUGUCCACCUACCACACUCCAGAUGCUCUUGA
rnacentral:lncRNA from 1 species